UACGUAGGGUCCGAGCGUUGUCCGGAUUUAUUGGGCGUAAAGAGCUCGUAGGUGGUUCGGUAAGUCGGAUGUGAAAUCUCCAGGCUCAACCUGGAGGGGUCAUUCGAUACUGCCGUGACUAGAGUUCGGUAGGGGAGUGUGGAAUUCCUGGUGGAGCGGUGAAAUGCGCCAGAUAUCAGGGGGAACACCCGUACGCGAAGGCGGACACGUCUGG
rnacentral:rRNA from 1 species